CGGUAAUUCCAGCUCCAAUAGCGUAUACUAAAGUUGUUGCAGUUAAAAAGCUCGUAGUUGGAUUUCUGCGGGGACGGAGCGGCCGGACGCAACUUGCGUCUCGAGCUAGCGCUUUCCCCGCAUCCUGCCGCGAACCGUGCUACCAUUAGCUUGGUGGCGCUGGGGAUCGGCUCGAUUACUUUGAGAAAAAUAGAGUGUUCAAAGCAGGCCACACGCCUUGAAUAAGUUAGCAUGGAAUAAUGACUAAGGACUUUGGUUCUUUUCGUUGGUGUUCGGGACUGAAGUAAUGAUUGAUAGGGACAGUUGGGGCGGUCUGUAUUCCAAAGCGAGAGGUGAAAUUCUUAGACCUUCGGAAGACAAACAGCUGCGAAAGCGUUCCGCAAGGAUGUUCCCUUUGAUCAAGAACGAAAGUUGGGGGAUCGAAGACGAUCAGAUACCGUCGUAGUCUCAACUAUAAACUAUACCAGCUAGGGAUCGGCCAACGUUUAAUUAUUCGACUUGGUCGGCACCUUAUGAGAAAUCAAAGCAUCUGGGUUCCGGGGGGAGUAUGGUCGCAAGGCUGAAACUUAAAGGAAUUGACGGAAGGGCACCACCAGGCGUGGAGCCUGUGGCUUAAUUUGACUCAACACGGGAAAACUUACCAGGUCCAGACAUAGGAAGGAUUGACAGAUUGAUAGCUCUUUCUUGAUUCUGUGGGUGGUGGUGCAUGGCCGUUUUUAGUCGGUGAAGUGAUUUGUCUGCUUAAUUGCGUUAACGGACGAGACCCCAGCCUGCUAAAUAGCGCGGCCGAGCUUUGCUCGGUGCGAGCUUCUUAGAGGGACCAUGAUGCGCGAUAGCACAAGGAAGUUUGGGGCAACAACAGGUCUGUGAUGCCCUUAGAUGUUCUGGGCCGCACACGGGCUACACUGGCGCCUGCAACGAGCAUAUCAGCUGGCCCGAGAGGGUCUUGGCUAAUCUUUGGAACCGGCGCCGUGCUUGGGAUUGACCAUUGCAAUUGUUGGUCAUGCAACGAGGAAUGCCUUGUAAACGCGAGUCAUCAGCUCGCAUUGAAUACGUCCCUGCCCUUUGUACACACCGCCCGUCGCUCCUACCGAUGAAUGUUCCGAUGAAAUUUUCGGAGAGCGCCGGAGAACGGGGCUCUGCCCUGCAGAACUGGAGGCUCAAAGUCACUUAAAUCUGAACAUUUCGAGGAAGGAGAAGUCGUAACAAGGUAACC
rnacentral:rRNA from 1 species